UUCCUCUCACAGGUAACAAGUAUGUCCCACGUGCCAUCCUCGUGGACCUGGAACCUGGCACCAUGGACUCUGUGCGCUCUGGCCCCUUUGGACAGAUCUUCCGUCCUGACAACUUUGUCUUUGGUCAGAGCGGGGCCGGCAACAACUGGGCCAAAGGGCACUACACGGAAGGCGCCGAGCUGGUGGACUCUGUCCUGGAUGUGGUGAGGAAGGAGUCGGAGAGCUGUGACUGCCUCCAGGGCUUCCAGUUGACCCACUCGUUGGGCGGAGGCACAGGCUCUGGGAUGGGCACCCUCCUCAUCAGCAAGAUCCGGGAGGAGUACCCCGACCGCAUCAUGAACACCUUCAGCGUGAUGCCCUCGCCCAAGGUGUCGGACACGGUGGUGGAGCCCUACAAUGCCACCCUCUCCGUGCACCAGCUGGUGGAGAACACGGACGAGACCUACUGCAUCGACAACGAGGCCCUGUAUGACAUUUGCUUCCGCACCCUGAAGCUGACCACUCCCACGUACGGGGACCUCAACCACCUGGUGUCGGCCACCAUGAGCGGCGUGACCACCUGCCUUCGCUUCCCCGGCCAGCUGAACGCCGACCUGCGCAAGCUGGCGGUCAACAUGGUGCCUUUCCCCCGGCUGCACUUCUUCAUGCCGGGCUUCGCCCCUCUCACCAGCCGUGGCAGCCAGCAGUACCGCGCCCUGACGGUGCCUGAGCUGACGCAGCAGAUGUUCGACUCCAAGAAUAUGAUGGCCGCCUGCGACCCCCGCCACGGGCGCUACCUGACGGUGGCCGCCAUCUUCCGGGGCCGCAUGUCCAUGAAGGAGGUGGACGAGCAGAUGCUCAACGUGCAGAACAAGAACAGCAGCUACUUUGUGGAGUGGAUCCCCAACAACGUGAAGACGGCUGUCUGUGACAUCCCCCCCGCGCGGCCUCAAGAUGUCCGCCACCUUCAUCGGCAAC